CAGACGUUCAUCAGCGUCACCAUCAUCGCCUUCAUCCCGGUGUACGACCGGGCGUUCGUGCCCGUGGCGCGGCGGUUCACGCGCGCGUCCUCGGGGAUCACCAUGCUGCAGCGGAUCGGCACGGGCCUCGUGCUGGCGCUCGCCGCCAUGGUCGUCGCGGCGCUGGUGGAGGCGAGGCGGCUCGGCGUCGCCAGGGACGCCGGCAUGGUGGACGACCCCAAGGCGGCGCUGCCGAUGAGCCUGUGGUGGAUGGUGCCGCAGUACGUGCUGUUCGGGCUCUCCGACGUGUUCGCCAUGAUCGGCCUCCAGGAGUUCUUCUACGACCAGGUCCCCGACGCGCUGCGCAGCCUGGGGCUCGCCUUCUUCCUCAGCAUAUUCGGGGUGGGUCACUUCUUCAGCAGCUUCAUCAUCUCCGCCAUUGACGGCGCCACCAAGAAGAGCGGGGCGAGCUGGUUCGCCAACAACCUCAACCGCGCCCACCUCGACUACUUCUACUGGCUCCUCGCCGGCCUCUGCGCCGUCGAGCUCGUCGCGUUCGUGUUCGUGUCGCGCGUUUACGUGUAUAAGAAGAGGGUUCCUCACAACGGUUGUGAUGUCAUGUAGAAGUAGAGGUUAGCUAGCUAAUUCUUGUGCAUGUUCUUGUGAAAUCUGAAAAUGUUUGUACAGGUGAUUAAAUCCUAGAAAGUGAAUAAAACCUUGAUACUUAAGCUCUGAUUCCUGUGAAAAGAUCUACUAACCAUUAGUAGUACCUUUGACUGAACCAUGUGUAAAGACUAAAGAUUUAACCAUUAUCUUGUACAAAUUCUCUGUAGAGAAAUCGAUUUUUUUUCCUGCUAUGUUUACUGAUUGCUAACGUGUCCAUUUUUAUUUCGAUGCCUGAACGAUUGAAUGGAGUGCAUGUGCGCGUACCAAGAUGGUUGUGGUUUGUGGACGUCUUCACUUUCUCUUUUCUGGUGGGAAAUUGUCCAUUCGAAGCUGCUACUCCAGUAGUUUGCUUUCUAUGCCCUUUGCUGCAAAUGGCGACCUGCCAUUGUUGGGUGGUGCUGCACUGCUGCUAUGGGUGAAGCUUUUCUGUUCCGUUAGUCUGCACCUUCGGCUUCGGUAGCAGACUUUCCAGCGCGUUGUCGCCUUUGAUCGCGACUCGUGAGGCCUCAAAGGCCGCGGCGCAAAAUGCGAUCUCCGAUGCUUGCUUUUGAUCUGCAGCCUGAACCAACCACGUUUAACCAUACAGUGGCACACGUACUGAAGCAAGCUGAUUCAAACACACUCCGUUCUACCAACUGUUUGUUAGGCAACUUGGCAUCUUCAUAUUCCUCUCCUGCCUGUGCCGAAUGAUCAGCUCUGCUACUUUCUUAAUUACCUUCUGAAGUUUGUCAUGAGAUGUUGAGUUUUUUUCAAAAUUUGGUUUCCGUUCUAACUGUUUGCUCGGCUGGUUAAGAACGUUGGCAGCUUAGCAUCUUUGUACUCCCCUUCUAUCUGUGCCGAACUAUCAUCAGUUCAGCACUGCUACUUCCUUACCUACUGAAGUUUGUGAUGAUACGUUGAUUUUCAGAAUUUGAUGCGUGCAGGGUAGGAGUAGGAGAUGCAAUGCAUAUCUUUUGCUCAUAGUUGACUCACUGACUAGCCAUUGGGCUGUAGCUGUGCAUAGUGGGAUCGAUCGGUCCGUAUUCGGCUAGCCGGCCUAUAUACGCAUAUAAAAAGGAGCUAGAUUCGUCACUUUUGUUGCAGAUCAGCAUGAACAGUGCGCACAAGACGGUGCUGGUGUACGCAAUUCUUCCUUGUGUUCGUACAUUAUUCAACUGUGCUAACACAUGGACCUAGCUUGUGAUGGAUACUCCGGUGCUGUCCUUUUGCUCUCUCGUGUAUAAAGUGAUGAAGAUGUUCUCUCUUGCAAGGGAAAGUUGUAUUUGUAUGGGUCAAUUUGAUCAUUGCUAUUGCAAAUUUAUGGUAUUUAAAAUAUUAUUGUUAUUCACCUAUUUCUAACCAUGUCAUUUUCCAAUACAACUAAAUUGUAUUCGUGCCAUGUUAUACGCAUCAGACAUGCUUUGGACAUAAUAUCCAAUCUAUAUGUGGAACACACCCGUCCCGUCAGUCCCUCUUCUUUCUCACCCUUCCUCUUCUCUCUUCCUCACUGUCAGUUCCCUUCCAUCUUAUUCCUCACGGAUGCUCAGAGACAAUGGCGGCAUGUGGCGACAAGGCGAGACAACGACGACCUUGUUAGUGGGAGAGGCGGAGGUUGAGGAAGGUGCAUUGUUAGGGCGAGGAGCAGGAACUACGAGAUGUCAAUGGUCUCGUUAAGCUUAUCUUCGCAAGCAUCGUGGAUGAGGAGGCACUGGAUCUAACGUGGAGCUUAUCAACGUGAUCCUGCACCAGCGCCGGACAACCACACCCUCGCCCAGCUCGACCCGUUGGCAUCAUCAACGAGCCAUCACUCGCACCCUUGUUGUCAAAUGGUCCACAAGUGCUACUGCUGCUCCUCUCCGCUGCCUCCUCCCAGUCAUGUUGCUCAUUCUCGAGUUGUCAAAGGGUUCCGAGUAUCUAAGUCACCAGAGCAUGACCUCCAACUCCCCACCGGGAACUCGUCAUUAGUGUCUUCCAAAGAGGGCGAUAAUGUCACGAGAACGACUAGGAGAUGAGUGGGAUGAGGAACAUAGGAAGGGGGAUGAUGCGUGGGCCCACAUGUCAAUGAGGUGGGGAGAAAGAGUUAGCGGGAGCAUUUUGAUCCAUAUGCAAAGUUGCAAACACGGUAUAAAAAUACAUCUCAUGCUUAUAUAAUGGCAUACAUAAAAUAAUUUUAGUUGUAUUGAAAUCGUAUGGUUAGAAAAUAGGUAAAUAAACAUUUUCUUUCAACACCGCAAAAUUUACGAUGCGGUGCUGCUGAAAAACGUAUCCAGGACAGCUUGUUUCGUGGUCUGGUUGGCAACAGUUUCCUGUCCGUUGCUUUUCCAAAAGUUCAAAGAUCAAAGCAGCAAUAACGGCUCAUCUCAUCUCUAUACUAGUAAUCGCCUAGUCGCCGUCGGUAUUGAUUCGCGGGAAGAACCUAUCCUCUUCGAAGCCGUGAAAUCUCAGCCGUCCAUCCAUGAUCCACCGGCCCGCAUCACCAGAAGCCUGUCCUAAAUGCACGAUAGGGAACCGUGCUCCGCACGUGGCGACUCUCGUCCGUACACGCCGCGACACGGGCCACGCGUGCGUGACACGUGCCCCGCUGCAUUAGCGUAAGACAGGGGUUGAUUAGCAAGAGCGUCCUAAUUCGAGGGGGUUUUGUACGAUAAUUUUCAACUAGGAUUGCAAGAUCGGGUAAAUUUGGGAAGAGUAGAGGGGGUUUUAGGGAAGGUGAUUAGCAGUAAUUUCAGAGUUAAGAAAGGGGGAUUACAUCUGCCUAAGCAGCCGCGUGUCGAUUUCGGUUUCGUAUAAAGCCCUAACAAGCUGUACCAUGGCCGAUCACCGGAGCAAGCUGGUGUCUCACCUCUUGGACUCCGGCAUGGCGGACACCGUCGCCGGAGCCGUCGAUUACCGUGGCCGGCCGGCCUCCCGCGCCGCCACCGGCGGCUGGAAGUCGUCGGUGUUCGUCAUGGGUAUGCUUAAAUCUUCCUUGUUUUUUAGUGAUUUGAGCGAUUGGAUGAAUGUGUCGAUGAUGAUCUUGUGUUUGUGUUGGUGCGUGCAGCCAUGGAGAUCGCGGAGAGGUUCGCGUACAAGGGCGUGGCGGCGAACCUGAUCACGUACCUGACCGGGCCGCUGGGGCAGCCGAUGGCGCGCGCCGCCGCGUCCAUCGACGCGUGGAAGGGCGUCUCCCAGAUGCUGCCGCUGCCGCUCGCCUGCGUCGCCGACGCCUGGCUCGGCCGCUACCGCGCCAUCGUCCUCGCCUCCGUCAUCUUCGUCCUGGUCGGUGCAAUCUCCUUCGGUUCUUCUUCCCAACCAUGGCGCGUACACUGAGAAUUAAUUGUUUCCAUGGAUGCAGAGCAUGGGCACGCUGUCGAUGUCGUCGGCGUUCCCGGUGUCGCGCGCCGGCCACGUCGCCGUCUUCUACGUGGCGCUGUACAUGGUGGCGCUGGGCGAGGGCGCGCACAAGCCGUGCGCGCAGGCGUUCGCGGCGGACCAGUUCGACGAGAAGGACGGCGGGGAGUGCGCCGCCCGGAGCUCCUUCUUCAACUGGUGGUACUUCGGCAUGUGCGCCGGCACCGCCGUCACCACCAUGGUGUCCAGCUACGUGCAGGACAACGUCGGCUGGGGCCUCGGCUUCGGCAUCCCCUGCAUCGUCAUCGUCGUCUCCCUCGCCGCGUUCCUCCUCGGCACCCGCUCGUACAGGUUCUACACAGCCAGGACGGCCAGCCCCGUCGCCCGCGUCGCCAAGGCGUUCUUGACAUUGAUCAAGAGCUGGAGAUCAAACCGUCGCACCAAGUGCGUAAAGAAGAAUAGUUCGAUCGAUUUUAGUAGUGUUUUUCUUUGUGUGUUUUGACUGUUUGUGCAUGUCCUGAUGUGAGACGGUGGAUGCAGUCCGGCGAGCGGCGGCAAAGGAGACGGCGACGGCGACGCCGGUGACCUCGUGGAGGAGGUGAAGAGCGUGCUCCGGCUGCUGCCGAUAUGGGCGUCGUGCAUAAUCUACGCGAUAAUCUUCUCCCAGACGUCGACGUUCUUCACCAAGCAGGCGGCGACGCUGGACCGGCGGAUCGGCCGGAGCUUCAACGUGCCGCCGGCGGCGCUGCAGACGUUCAUCAGCGUCAGCAUCGUCGUCUUCAUCCCGGUGUACGACCGCCUCUUCGUGCCGCUCGCCCGCCGCUACACGGGGAGGCCGUCGGGGAUCACCAUGCUGCAGAGGGUGGGCGCCGGCCUCGCCCUCUCCCUCGUCGCCGUCGUCCUGUCCGCGCUCGUGGAGACGCGGCGCCUCCGCGUCGCCGCCGGCGCCGGCAUGGCGGACGCCCCCAAGGCGCGGCUCCCGAUGAGCCUGUGGUGGAUGGUGCCGCAGUACGUUCUCGUCGGCGUCGCCGACGUGUUCGCCAUGAUCGGCCUGCAGGAGUUCUUCUACGACCAGGUCCCCGACGCCGUGCGCAGCCUCGGCCUCGCGCUGUUCCUCAGCAUCUUCGGCGUCGGCCACCUCCUCAGCAGCCUCCUCAUCUCGGUGAUCGACGGCGCGACGGCGAGGCGCGCCGGCGGCAGCUGGUUCGCCAACAACCUCAACCGCGCCCACCUCGACUACUUCUACUGGCUCCUCGCCGGCCUCUGUGCCGUCGAGCUCGUCGCCUUCUUCCUCUUCUCGCGGGUGUACACCUACAAGAAGAAGGGCAACGAUGCUGAUGGCAAUUGUGAUUACAGGGGAGUUGAUGAUGAUGGCAUCUG
rnacentral:lncRNA from 1 species